rnacentral:sRNA from 1 species
GCCAGGUGUGGUGGCACAUGCCUGUAAUCCCAUCUGCUUGGGAGGCUGAGGCAAGAGGAUUGCAAGUUCAAAGCCAGCCUCUG